rnacentral:lncRNA from 1 species
GGGAAGACCUUAAGUACUGAAUUAAUUAAAUUACACCUAUAUCGCGAAAAAGAGCUGCUCUAGCUUUAGCGCGCACCCUUUCUCCUAUGAGGAAAGUGACUCUUUCCGAUUCAUGUCUGGCCCUUCCUGGAUCUGGAUCACAGUAUACCGGCGACUUUGUCCUUGAAUUCAUUCUAUUUCAUAUCCACCGAUCCGUGGAAGAGACCAAGGAAGAGUAAGAUAGAUUUAGGGCCGGCAGGCGGGUCUAGAAUAGAUUCCCCAACGGGUCCUGACUUUUCAACAACAGAGGCGAAAACUUACUCUUUCAAGUCAAAGUCAAAGUCGGGUAGACUAAGAUGGAGUUUAUUUUACAGUUGUUCCAGGGAUAUGGGUAUAGAGUGAAUUCUAUUCACUCUUUAUGAAGUUCCGUGCACUCCUUAUAUCAAUUAAAUUACACCUAUAUCGCGAAAAAGAGCUGCUCUAGCUUUAGCGCGCACCCUUUCUCCUAUGAGGAAAGUGACUCUUUCCGAUUCAUGUCUGGCCCUUCCUGG